UACGGGGGGGGCAAGCGUUGUUCGGAAUUACUGGGCGUAAAGGGCUUGUAGGUGGCCAACUAAGUCAGACGUGAAAUCCCUCGGCUUAACCGGGGAACUGCGUCUGAUACUGGAUGGCUCGAGUGUGGGAGAGGGAUGCGGAAUUCCAGGUGUAGCGGUGAAAUGCGUAGAUAUCUGGAGGAACACCGGUGGCGAAGGCGGCAUCCUGGACCAUAACUGACGCUAAAGCGCGACAGCAUGGGGAGCAAACGGG
rnacentral:rRNA from 1 species